rnacentral:tRNA from 1 species
GCGGGGGUGGCGGAAUUGGCAGACGCGUACGCUUGAGGUGCGUAUGGAGUAAUCCUUGGAGGUUCAAGUCCUCUCCUCCGCA